CAGACACCAAAUCUGCUGGCCCCUUGAUCUGGGACUUCUCAGUCUCCAGAACUCUGAGAAAUAAAUGCCAAUUGUUUAGAAACUACCAAUUUCAUGGUAUUUUGUUACAGCAACCUGAACAGACUAAGACAGUUACUGAAAAACCCCACUUUAAAUAUGUGAGCAUGGGAGCCCACAUUGCUGGACAGCCUCAUGGUAAAGCUAUCAAAUCCUGCUCUUGGCAUAUUUUGCAGUAGUGUUGUGCCCAGGGAGGGGGGCAGUCAGUCCUGGGGGACGGGCAAUAAGGAGGUGAACUGCUGGCCGAGAACAUAAACACAAUCAUUAUUAAAUUGAUUACAUGUAGUGUGCUUUUUAUUAUUACCAUGUGCCAGCAAUCCUAAACUAUGUCAAUGAUAGAACACCUUCCCAUAAGAAAUAAUUUUUUGUUCUAACUGGUCUAAUUGUUACAGUUAGUGUUACAGUUAGCGUUGAGAGUGUUUUUCCAUUUUUUUUUACUGUGAUAAAAUAUGAUUACCAUUUUAGCCAUGGUUAAGUGUACAGUUCAGUGGCAUGAAACACAUUAAUGUUUAGUUUUAAUAAAAUAUUUGUUAGCUUCAUUUUUUUUUUACAUUUCACAUACAUGAAAUAAGCCAAUCACAAAAAGAUAAAUACUACACAAUUCCACUUAAAUGAGGUUAUCUACAGUGAUCAAAUUCUUAGAAACAAAAAGUAGAAUGGUGGUUACUCCGGACUGGAGGAAGCAGGAAAUGAGAAAUUGUUCAGUGGAUACAGAUUGAGUAUCCUCUCUGAAGAUUUGUAUAUUUAAAAUUUUUUUCUUUAUCUGAUUGAGUUGAUUUGAAGAAUCAGUUUUUGAGCUCUGAGAUUCCACAGCUUGAUCUAUUCCUCUGUUAAUGCUUCCAACACUAUUAUGAAAAUUUUGUAGUGAAUUUUUAAAUUCCAGUUCAGUUUGGUUCUUUUUAAAAAUGGCUAUUUUGUCUUUCAAUUUUUGGGUCAUUUUUACUGGAUUCCUUGGAUUGGGUUUCUACUUCCUCUUGAAUCUUGAUGAGCUUCUUUGGUAUCCAGAUUCUGAAUUCUAUGUCUGUCAUUCCGGACAUUUCAGUCCUUGCUGAGGGGCUAGUAUGCUUAUUUGACGUUUUGAAUUGCCAGAGUUCUUGUGCUGACUCUUUUGAGAGGGCUGGUGUUCCUUUGUCGUCUUGUUUUUAUAUUAUUCAUUUACCUUGAGGGCUUAACUGUGGUAUAUGUUGAGUAUAGUCAAUUGGCUUCAUUUCUGGAUACUUUCAGAGGGCCAAGGCUCUGUAUGGGAUCUUUGUGGCUAGAUUCUUGCUCUGGGUUUUACAGGUGCUCUAUACUGGCAGAAUAUUUUGAAAUUGUAAUUUCGGCGGCAAACCAGUAGAUGGCGCUUAAGAGUAAUUGCCGGCAGGCUCUGACUCAGCGCUGGCUCUUUGGUAUUUUGUAUUCGCAGUCAUGCUCCAUAGUUCAGGGGAGAGAGAUGAUCCUUUUGCCAAGUCCUCUCCUGGCCCUUAGAGGAGCCCCCUCCAAUCACUGGAGCUGCACUUACGUUUCCUUUGUUAGGUGUUCGGAGCUGUGGGGGCUCUCUCCGGCAGAGGCUAAGGCUUGCAGACAGGCCGCAACCCUUCCCUGAAAGGCCCUGAGAGAGACAAGUCUCAUCCCGCGCUGGCCCACGAACUGCUUCUCACUCCUCCCAGUGUUCUGAGUGGAGGCUCCUCCCCCGCGCUUGCGCACCAGCCACAGGUCUCAGCUGGGCACUCCUGAGCUCUGUGCUGCAACCUUGGGGCAUUGGGCUCUGUCUUUCGGCCCCUCGGGGUCAGACCCCUGCUGUGUUGGGGGAUCCGAAGUGCUCCCAAGCUGCCUGGAAAGCAUUCAGGCGGGGUCGCUAGCAAGAACUCAGGCUGGGCAGCGGAGGCGGCACAGUGCACACACUCCUGCAGGAACAACCAGACAGGGGCUUUGGGAGGGGCUGCGUGCAGGGGGUCCCGCAGAACAUAUGCGCCCCAGUCCCGCAGGAAGGACCGCCCUGCUCUCUCUUGGCUCACUGAGAUGGGAUCACCCUAUGUUAUCCAGGCUGGUCUCGAACUCCUGGCCUCAAGUGAUCCUUCCACCUUGGCCUCCCAAAGCACUGAGAUGACAGGCCUCUGUGAACCACUGUGCCUGGUCUCAUAUAUAUGUAUUUUUAAUAUGCAGC
rnacentral:lncRNA from 1 species